rnacentral:rRNA from 1 species
ACGCUGGCGGCGUGCCUAAUACAUGCAAGUAGAACGCUGAAGGAAGGAGCUUGCUCUUUCCGGAUGAGUUGCGAACGGGUGAGUAACGCGUAGGUAACCUGCCUGGUAGCGGGGGAUAACUAUUGGAAACGAUAGCUAAUACCGCAUAACAACAGUUGUUGCAUGACAGCUGUUUAAAAGGUGCAAAUGCACCACUACCAGAUGGACCUGCGUUGUAUUAGCUAGUUGGUGAGGUAACGGCUCACCAAGGCGACGAUACAUAGCCGACCUGAGAGGGUGAUCGGCCACACUGGGACUGAGACACGGCCCAGACUCCUACGGGAGGCAGCAGUAGGGAAUCUUCGGCAAUGGACGGAAGUCUGACCGAGCAACGCCGCGUGAGUGAAGAAGGUUUUCGGAUCGUAAAGCUCUGUUGUAAGAGAAGAACGAGUGUGAGAGUGGAAAGUUCACACUGUGACGGUAUCUUACCAGAAAGGGACGGCUAACUACGUGCCAGCAGCCGCGGUAAUACGUAGGUCCCGAGCGUUAUCCGGAUUUAUUGGGCGUAAAGCGAGCGCGGGCGGUUAGAUAAGUCUGAAGUUAAAGGCUGUGGCUUAACCAUAGUACGCUUUGGAAACUGUUUAACUUGAGUGCAGAAGGGGAGAGUGG